CGUUUGACCUCGGAUCAGGUAGGGAUACCCGCUGAACUUAAGCAUAUCAAUAAGCGGAGGAAAAGAAACCAACAGGGAUUGCCCUAGUAACGGCGAGUGAAGCGGCAACAGCUCAAAUUUGAAAUCUGGCUCUUUCAGAGUCCGAGUUGUAAUUUGCAGAGGGCGCUUUGGCUUUGGCAGCGGUCCAAGUUCCUUGGAACAGGACGUCACAGAGGGUGAGAAUCCCGUACGUGGUCGCUAGCUAUUGCCGUGUAAAGCCCCUUCGACGAGUCGAGUUGUUUGGGAAUGCAGCUCUAAAUGGGAGGUAAAUUUCUUCUAAAGCUAAAUAUCGGCCAGAGACCGAUAGCGCACAAGUAGAGUGAUCGAAAGAUGAAAAGCACUUUGGAAAGAGAGUCAAACAGCACGUGAAAUUGUUGAAAGGGAAGCGCUUGCAGCCAGACUUGCUUGCAGUUGCUCAUCCGGGCUUUUGCCCGGUGCACUCUUCUGCAGGCAGGCCAGCAUCAGUUUGGGCGGUGGGAUAAAGGUCUCUGUCACGUACCUUCCUUCGGGUUGGCCUUAUAGGGGAGACGCCAUACCACCAGCCUGGACUGAGGUCCGCGCAUCUGCUAGGAUGCUGGCGUAAUGGCUGUAAGCGGCCCGUCUUGAAACACGGACCAAGGAGUCUAACAUCUAUGCGAGUGUUUGGGUGUCAAGCCCGAGCGCGUAAUGAAAGUGAACGGAGGUGGGAACCCGCAAGGGUGCACCAUCGACCGAUCCUGAAGUUUACGGAAGGAUUUGAGUAAGAGCAUGGCUGUUGGGACCCGAAAGAUGGUGAACUAUGCUUGAAUAGGGUGAAGCCCAGAGGAAACUCUGGUGGAGGCUCGCAACCGGUUCUGACGUGCAAA
rnacentral:rRNA from 1 species